rnacentral:rRNA from 1 species
CAUCCGUAGCCGGCUCUGUAAGUUUUCGGUUAAAUCUGUACGCUCAACGUACAGGCUGCCGGGAAUACUGCAGAGCUAGGGAGUGGGAGAGGUAGACGGUACUCGGUAGGAAGGGGUAAAAUCCUUUGAUCUAUAGAUGACCACCUGUGGCGAAGGCGGUCUACCAGAACACGUCCGACGGUGAGGGAUGAAAGCUGGGGGAGCAAACCGGAUUAGAUACCCGGGUAGUCCCAGCUGUAAACUAUGCAAACUCAGUGAUGCAUUGACUUGUGGUCAAUGCAGUGCUGCAGGGAAACCGUUAAGUUUGCCGCCUGG